rnacentral:rRNA from 1 species
AUUCUGGCUCAGGAUGAACGCUGGCGGCGUGCUUAACACAUGCAAGUCGAACGGGAUCUGACCAGCUUGCUGGUUGGUGAGAGUGGCGAACGGGUGAGUAAUGCGUGACCAACCUGCCCCAUGCUCCAGAAUAGCUCUUGGAAACGGGUGGUAAUGCUGGAUGCUCCAACUUGACGCAUGUCUUGUUGGGAAAGUGUUUAGUGGCAUGGGAUGGGGUCGCGUCCUAUCAGCUUGUAGGCGGGGUAAUGGCCCACCUAGGCUUCGACGGGUAGCCGGCCUGAGAGGGCGGACGGCCACAUUGGGACUGAGAUACGGCCCAGACUCCUACGGGAGGCAGCAGUGGGGAAUAUUGCGCAAUGGGGGAAACCCUGACGCAGCGACGCCGCGUGCGGGAUGAAGGCCUUCGGGUUGUAAACCGCUUUUGAUUGGGAGCAAGCUUUCGGGUGAGUGUACCUUUCGAAUAAGCGCCGGCUAACUACGUGCCAGCAGCCGCGGUAAUACGUAGGGCGCAAGCGUUAUCCGGAAUUAUUGGGCGUAAAGAGCUUGUAGGCGGUUCGUCGCGUCUGGUGUGAAAGCCCAUCGCUUAACGGUGGGUCUGCGCCGGGUACGGGCGGGCUAGAGUGCAGUAGGGGAGACUGGAAUUCCCGGUGUAACGGUGGAAUGUGUAGAUAUCGGGAAGAACACCAAUGGCGAAGGCAGGUCUCUGGGCUGUUACUGACGCUGAGAAGCGAAAGCGUGGGGAGCGAACAGGAUUAGAUACCCUGGUAGUCCACGCCGUAAACGGUGGACGCUGGAUGUGGGGCCCAUUCCACGGGUUCCGUGUCGGAGCUAACGCGUUAAGCGUCCCGCCUGGGGAGUACGGCCGCAAGGCUAAAACUCAAAGAAAUUGACGGGGGCCCGCACAAGCGGCGGAGCAUGCGGAUUAAUUCGAUGCAACGCGAAGAACCUUACCUGGGCUUGACAUGUGCCUGUCGACUGCAGAGAUGUGGUUUCCCUUCGGGGCAGGUUCACAGGUGGUGCAUGGUCGUCGUCAGCUCGUGUCGUGAGAUGUUGGGUUAAGUCCCGCAACGAGCGCAACCCU